rnacentral:rRNA from 1 species
UGGGGAAUCUUGCACAAUGGGGGAAACCCUGAUGCAGCGACGCCGCGUGAGCGAUGAAGGUUUUCGAAUCGUAAAGCUCUGUCCUAUGGGAAGAUAAUGACGGUACCAUGGGAGGAAGCCCCGGCUAACUACGUGCCAGCAGCCGCGGUAAUACGUAGGGGGCGAGCGUUGUCCGGAAUUACUGGGCGUAAAGGGUUCGCAGGCGGCAUGGCAAGUCCGAUGUAAAAGGCGAAGGCUCAACCUUCGUAAGCAUCGGAAACUGUCAAGCUUGAGUGAAGGAGAGGCAAGUGGAAUUCCUAGUGUAGAGGUGGAAUGCGUAGAUAUUAGGAGGAAUACCGGUGGCGAAGGCGACUUGCUGGACUUAAACUGACGCUGAGGAACGAAAGCGUGGGUAGCAAACAGG